UACGUAGGGGGCGAGCGUUGUCCGGAUUUAUUGGGCGUAAAGAGCUCGUAGGCGGUUUGGUAAGUUGGAUGUGAAAUCUCCAGGCUCAACUUGGAGGGGUCAUUCGAUACUGCCAUGACUAGAGUUCGGUAGGGGAGUGUGGAAUUCCUGGUGUAGCGGUGAAAUGCGUAGAGAUCAGGAAGAACAUCGGUGGCGAAGGCGCUCUGCUGGACCAUAACUGACACUCAGGGACGAAAGCUAGGGGAGCGAACGGG
rnacentral:rRNA from 1 species